UAAGUGGGCGGGCGUGCUUACACAUGCAGUCGAACGAUGAUGCCCAGCUUGCUGGGUGGAUUAGUGGCGAACGGGUGAGUAACACGUGAGUAACCUGCCCUUGACUCUGGGAUAAGCCUGGGAAACCGGGUCUAAUACCGGAUACGACCAUCUGGCGCAUGUCAUGGUGGUGGAAAGCUUUAGCGGUUUUGGAUGGACUCGCGGCCUAUCAGCUUGUUGGCGGGGUAACGGCCCACCAAGGCGACGACGGGUAGCCGGCCUGAGAGGGUGACCGGCCACACUGGGACUGAGACACGGCCCAGACUCCUACGGGAGGCAGCAGUGGGGAAUAUUGCACAAUGGGCGAAAGCCUGAUGCAGCGACGCCGCGUGAGGGAUGACGGCCUUCGGGUUGUAAACCUCUUUCAGCAGGGAAGAAGCGCAAGUGACGGUACCUGCAGAAGAAGUGCCGGCUAACUACGUGCCAGCAGCCGCGGUAAUACGUAGGGCACAAGCGUUAUCCGGAAUUAUUGGGCGUAAAGAGCUCGUAGGCGGUUUGUCGCGUCUGCUGUGAAAGCCCGGGGCUCAACCCCGGGUCUGCAGUGGGUACGGGCAGACUGGAGUGCAGU
rnacentral:rRNA from 1 species